CUCGUUGUUGACAAAGGUGCUGGUACUUUUUUGGAGGGAUUUCAGUUUGCAAGUUCUCUCUGUCUGAAUUGUUCUUUGAAAAUGGACUUCAUUAAUUCAAGAAUAAUGGCGGGAAAAAAGUAAAAAAAAAAAAAAUUUAAUUAUGUAAUCCAAGUCGGGGGAUGAGUUACGUAACGACCACGUGUUGAGGGAAGGCGGAUUUUGUAACGCCAUCCGGAUAUUACCAUACAGACGCACACAGCGGAACGGUAACCUCGUGUGCAACUUCAACACACACACACAAAAAGGAAAUGGUGUGACGAAUUUCGAUUUUGGAAAAAAGAGAAAACGAGUGACAUGAGACGACGGACAAGAGCAGACGGAACUGUCGUGUUUCAUAGUUGCUUAUGCUUGACCUCGUGGUGCAUCUGUUAUCAGCACGGUAUCGAAUUUCCAUAUCCAAUUAAGAAGAAAAAGACUCAAUUUACACCAAAAUUGGAUAGGGGUAAAACAAAACCCUGUGCCGACAAAUAACAGGGCAAAUUGAGUGUCGAAAAAGAAAAUGAAUUCAGAAAUGAGUGGGGGAGGUGGCGGAAAUGGGGGGGGGAGAGAAAAACGAAAAAAAAAAGGUAAAGUAAAGAAAUUAGAAUUUAAGAAAAAAAAGGGGUAGGUAGAGAAAAAACUAAAGAAAAAAAAAGGGGGGAAUCUGUUAUGAAGAAGAAAAAAACCCAAAAAAAAAAAAGAAAAAUGAAACUUGUUUUGGGGUUCGGAAUUUGUUUCAUCCUCCUACUGCUGGCCAAUCCAGGUGAGAAAAUGUUCAGAUUGAGUGAGAAAGAAAAUGGCGUGUGUACACAGGGUUAUGGGACAGGUAAGGGCAUUGGGAGUUGAAAGCCUCUCAAUUCACAACGGGAUCUGACCCUGAUUUAUUUUUAUUUUUCUCCACCUCAUUUUGCCCAUCACGUUUUCAACCCCUUUUUUUUCAAUGUUAUUUUCACCUUCGAUUUGACGAAAUUUGUUUUUUGUUGUCCAUCUCACGAACGGACUCCAUUUGUUUGUUUUUUUAAAAUCAAGGUUAAGAAGCUUUGCCGGUCUGUACGAGCAGCCGCGUGGGGGAGUUGUCAUGGAGCGCUCGCAGUGGCGACUUCCAUCAUCCCCGCAAAGAAAAAUGUCGACGAGAGAUUUCAAACGAAAGGGAAAGGAGACAACCGUAACAAAAAGAAGAAGACAGCGUUUUUAUGGCGUAUCCCUGUCUCAUUUUUAAAUAGAUUAAAAAGAAUUUUUAAAAAAUAUAUACAUAAAAACUUUUCUUUUAGAGGGGGAAGUUGUUUGCCGGUGCACGGCUCCACGUCGCCGGCCUAUAGACCGCAAGACGCGGGCUAAACAAGUUUGAAAGCCGCGUUACCGUACACUGGGUUUUAACCUUGUAAAUAAAAAAACGAACGAAGAGUGAAAAUGUCGUCCGGAGGGGGGAGCGCGGAAUAAUACAAGUCGAGGAGUAAGAGCCCGGCAUUCCGGCACCCAAUCCAUCGACAUACGGCCUUGAAAUAGUCAAGUCUCUCUCUUCUCUCCUCGUUUUCUUUUUUUUUUUUUUCACUCUCUCUCUCACUAGAGAAGAUAGAAAUAUAAAUAAAAUGUAUAAAAUUGUA